UCAAAGCGAAUGGAGGUGGCAAUCUUAAGGACUAAAGAGAGCACUUUGCCAAGCUUUAUAAGCCCAUUAGCUUAUGAAUAUUAAGCCUUCAAGAACUGAUUUCCAGCAAAGAGAAAGAAGAUGAACCCAUCAUCUUCUUCAAAGUUCUCAAAAUUUCUAAGGCUUGGGGUUUAUUCGUUUGACAUCGGAUUCACGUGAUUUUUGCGGCGUUGGAAUGAGGAGAAGAUUAUCUACUGAUCUAACCUAUCAAUUAAAGAUUCUUCGUUAGACAUCGGAAUUGAGUGAUUUUCGCGGCGACGGAAAGAGGGGAGGAAGACCUACUGAUAUACAGCUUCAAUUCAAGACGCAUCGACGCAGCACGUAAUCGUCGGAGUUAGUUUAACGGGGUUCGGCUAUCAUUUUAAUGUCGUGCUUAUUGGAUGGCGAAUUUUUGUUUCCUUUCAGGUUUAUUAUAUGGCGAUGUAGUCGAGCCUCCAUCCAUUUUUCUGGAAGUCUCAGUUGUGAAAGUUUCUACCCUUCUUAGAGCUGCAGUAGUUAUGGUAGUAGACUUAGUCGAUAGUAGACAGUUUAUGUUUUUCAUGUGCUCUGGCAUAAAGAUGUAUUUUUGGAAAAUGGUUUAUCCAACAAUUUUGUAUAUGAUUACAUGGUAUUUUAAAUAGGGUGGUUUGUGUUUUUAA